rnacentral:rRNA from 1 species
CAUGCNAGUCGAACGGUAACAGGAAGAAGCUUGCUUCUUUGCUGACGAGUGGCGGACGGGUGAGUAAUGUCUGGGAAACUGCCUGAUGGAGGGGGAUAACUACUGGAAACGGUAGCUAAUACCGCAUAACGUCGCAAGACCAAAGAGGGGGACCUUCGGGCCUCUUGCCAUCGGAUGUGCCCAGAUGGGAUUAGCUNGUAGGUGGGGUAACGGCUCACCUAGGCGACGAUCCCUAGCUGGUCUGAGAGGAUGACCAGCCACACUGGAACUGAGACACGGUCCAGACUCCUACGGGAGGCAGCAGUGGGGAAUAUUGCACAAUGGGCGCAAGCCUGAUGCAGCCAUGCCGCGUGUAUGAAGAAGGCCUUCGGGUUGUAAAGUACUUUCAGCGGGGAGGAAGGGAGUAAAGUUAAUACCUUUGCUCAUUGACGUUACCCGCAGAAGAAGCACCGGCUAACUCCGUGCCAGCAGCCGCGGUAAUACGGAGGGUGCAAGCGUUAAUCGGAAUUACUGGGCGUAAAGCGCACGCAGGCGGUUUGUUAAGUCAGAUGUGAAAUCCCCGGGCUCAACCUGGGAACUGCAUCUGAUACUGGCAAGCUUGAGUCUCGUAGAGGGGGGUAGAAUUCCAGGUGUAGCGGUGAAAUGCGUAGAGAUCUNGGAGGAAUACCGGUGGCGAAGGCGGCCCCCUGGACGAAGACUGACGCUCAGGUGCGAAAGCNUGGGGAGCAAACAGGAUUAGAUACCCUGGUAGUNCACGCCGUAAACGAUGUNGACUUGGAGGUUGUGCCCUUGAGGCGUGGCUUCCGGAGCUAACGCGUUAAGUCGACCGCCUGGGGAGUACGGCCGCAAGGUUAAAACUCAAAUGAAUUGACGGGGGCCCGCACAAGCGGUGGAGCAUGUGGUUUAAUUCGAUGCAACGCGAAGAACCUUACCUGGUCUUGACAUCCACGGAAGUUUUCAGAGAUGAGAAUGUGCCUUCGGGAACCGUGAGACAGGUGCUGCAUGGCUGUCGUCAGCUCGUGUUGUGAAAUGUUGGGUUAAGUCCCGCAACGAGCGCAACCCUUAUCCUUUGUUGCCAGCGGUCCGGCCGGGAACUCAAAGGAGACUGCCAGUGAUAAACUGGAGGAAGGUGGGGAUGACGUCAAGUCAUCAUGGCCCUUACGACCAGGGCUACACACGUGCUACAAUGGCGCAUACAAAGAGAAGCGACCUCGCGAGAGCAAGCGGACCUCAUAAAGUGCGUCGUAGUCCGGAUUGGAGUCUGCAACUCGACUCCAUGAAGUCGGAAUCGCUAGUAAUCGUGGAUCAGAAUGCCACGGUGAAUACGUUCCCGGGCCUUGUACACACCGCCAGUCACAGCCAUGGGAGUGGGUUGCAAAAGAAGUAGGUAGCUUAACCCUUCGGGAGGGCGCUACC